GGCUUCGUAGAUCAGCUGGUAGAGCAAUGCCGCGUCUAGACAUGUUGUUCCUGUCGCUGGUUCGAAUCCAGCCGAAGUCA